GUUUUUAGAAGUAAACUAAGACUCCUUUUGUUUCGCAAUAAAAUUUUAUUCGUGGAAGAUAUUUUAUAAAAAAAAUAUAUUUAUGAGAGAAUUCUCAUUUUCACUGUUUCAAUAAGACAAUGAAAAUCAAUUAUAAUUUAUGUCUAGCACUUGUAAACAAUGAAUAUAUAUCUUCCAAUAAAAAAGACUGAAAAUGUCUGACACAAAGCUCACAUUUAAUUGAGGACGUAAAGCCCAUAUUAACUUGAUGAAUCAAAUUAUAAAUCCAGAGAGGAAAGGUGGAGCUAUCACAGAAGCAUUUCUAUGCUUUACUCUAAGCUUUCAUAAUCUCUCAAAACUUUUCAAAUCAAAUUUGCAAACUGUCAUCAAUAUUACUAGUUUCCUACUUUUGCUACCUAAAGCAAACAUCCCAUCUAGAAAACCCCAGAACCAACAAAAAAAAAAGGACAAAACUAAAACAAAACUAAAGGUUACAAUUUCUCUACAAUCCAAUAAUUAUAAUUAGCGGGAAAAAAAUAA
rnacentral:misc_RNA from 1 species